rnacentral:rRNA from 1 species
ACCUUACUACUUGGAUAACCGUGGUAAUUCUAGAGCUAAUACAUGCUAAAAACCCCAACUUCGGGAGGGGUGUAUUUAUUAGAUAAAAAACCAAUGCCCUUCGGGGCUCCUUGGUGAUUCAUAAUAACUUCUCAGAUCGCAUGGCCUUGCGCCGGCGACGGUUCAUUCAAAUUUCUGCCCUAUCAACUUUCGAUGGUAAGGUAUUGGCUUACCAUGGUUUCAACGGGUAACGGGGAAUUAGGGUUCGAUUCCGGAGAGGGAGCCUGAGAAACGGCUACCACAUCCAAGGAAGGCAGCAGGCGCGCAAAUUACCCAAUCCCGACACGGGGAGGUAGUGACAAUAAAUACUGAUACAGGGCUCUUUAGGGUCUUGUAAUUGGAAUGAGUACAAUUUAAACCUCUUAACGAGGAACAAUUGGAGGGCAAGUCUGGUGCCAGCAGCCGCGGUAAUUCCAGCUCCAAUAGCGUAUAUUAAAGUUGUUGCAGUUAAAAAGCUCGUAGUUGAACCUUUGGCCUGGCUGGCGGGUCCGCCUCACCGCGUGCACUCGUCCGGCCGGGCCUUUUCUUCUGGAGAACCGCAUGCCCUUCACUGGGUGUGUUGGGGACCAGGACUUUUACUUUGAAAAAAUUAGAGUGUUCAAAGCAGGCCUUUGCUCGAAUACGUUAGCAUGGAAUAAUAGAAUAGGACGUGCGGUCCUAUUUUGUUGGUUUCUAGGACCGCCGUAAUGAUUAAUAGGGACAGUCGGGGGCAUCAGUAUUCAAUUGUCAGAGGUGAAAUUCUUGGAUUUAUUGAAGACUAACUACUGCGAAAGCAUUUGCCAAGGAUGUUUUCAUUAAUCAGUGAACGAAAGUUAGGGGAUCGAAGACGAUCAGAUACCGUCGUAGUCUUAACCAUAAACUAUGCCGACUAGGGAUCGGGCGGCGUUACUAUUAUGACUCGCUCGGCACCUUACGAGAAAUCAAAGUGUUU